rnacentral:rRNA from 1 species
AUACGGAGGAUGCAAGCGUUAUCCGGAUUUAUUGGGUUUAAAGGGUGCGUAGGCGGAUGAUUAAGCGUGAGGUGAAAUGCCACUGCUCAACAGUGGAACUGCCUCGCGAACUGGUUGUCUUGAAUGCUCCUGCCGUGGGAGGAAUGUGUGGUGUAGCGGUGAAGUGCAUAGAGAUCACACAGAACACCGAUUGCGAAGGCAUCUCACGAAGGGGUGAUUGACGCUGAGGCACGAAAGCGUGGGGAUCAAACAGGAUUAGACACCCUGGUAGUCCACGCAGUAAACGAUGAUAACUAACCGCUGGGUCGUAGUGAUUCAGUGGCCAAGCGAAAGCGAUAAGUUAUCCACCUGGGGAGUACGACCGCAAGGUUGAAACUCAAAUGAAUUGACGGGG